UGGCCUUUUUAUUAGCUCGUAGUAAACUUACACAUGCAAGCAUCCCCGCCCCAGUGAGAAUGCCCUCUAUAUCAAACACCCGAUCAAAAGGAGCUGGCAUUAAGCUCACUUAAUAAAGUAGCUCAAAACGCCUUGCUCAACCACACCCCCACGGGAUACAGCAGUGAUUAAAAUUAAGUUAAUAAACGAAAGUUUGACUAAGUUAUACUACUAUAGGGUUGGUAAAUUUCGUGCCAGCCACCGCGGUCAUACGAUUAACCCUAGUUAAUAAAAUACGGCGUAAAGCGUGAUUAAGGUUAUGUCCCUACAAAUAAGACUAAGCUCAAACUAAGCUGUAAAAAGCCCUAGUUAUGAUAAAAAUAAAAUACGAAAGUAGUCUUACCCUCCUGAAUUCACGAUAGCUAAGAUCCAAACUGGGAUUAGAUACCCCACUAUGCUUAGCCCUAAACACAAAUAUUUAAUUAACAAAAAUAUUCGCCAGAGUACUACUAGCAAUUGCUUAAAACUCAAAGGACUUGGCGGUGCUUUAUAUCCCUCUAGAGGAGCCUGUUCUAUAAUCGAUAAACCCCGAUAAACCUCACCACCUUUUGCAAUACUCAGCCUAUAUACCGCCAUCUUCAGCAAACCCUAAUAAGGCCUUAUAGUAAGCACAAGAAUUCUACAUAAAAACGUUAGGUCAAGGUGUAGCCUAUAAGGUGGGAAGAAAUGGGCUACAUUUUCUACUUUCCCUAGAACAAUAUUUUAACGAUAGCUUUUAUGAAACCGUACAAGCUCAAGGCGGAUUUAGUAGUAAGCUAAGAAUAGAGUGCUU
rnacentral:ncRNA from 1 species